AUUCUAAGAUGGAAUAGGAAUGAUCCAAUUUAUAUAGAACUUAAUCUCUAUUAUCCUCUAUGGAUUCAAAUUUUCAUUCCGAUUUCGAUUCCGAUUCCGAUUCUGAUCACAAACUAAGCGUUUCGAAAAAUUUAGCCAUUUCAAUUCUGAUUUCAAGUCAUUUCAAUUUCCAUUUCUAUUUCGAUUCUGAUCACGAACCAAG
rnacentral:lncRNA from 1 species